rnacentral:rRNA from 1 species
GGAAAGACCCCAUGAACCUUUACUCUAGCUUCGCACUGGCACCAGGCCAGGCAUGUGCAGGAUAGGUGGUAGGCUUUGAAGCGGGGGCGCCAGCUCUCGUGGAGCCGUCCUUGAGAUACCACCCUUGCCUUGCUUGGUGUCUAACCGCGGUCCGUCAUCCGGAUCCGGAACCAUGCGUGGUGGGGAGUUUGACUGGGGCGGUCGCCUCCCAAAGAGUAACGGAGGCGCGCGAAGGUU